AACGAACGCUGGCGGCAUGCCUAACACAUGCAAGUCGAACGAGACCUUCGGGGCUAGUGGCGCACGGGUGCGUAACGCGUGGGAACCUGCCCUUAGGUUCGGAAUAACUCCCCGAAAGGGGUGCUAAUACCGGAUAAUGUCUUCGGACCAAAGAUUUAUCGCCUUUGGAUGGGCCCGCGUUGGAUUAGCUAGUUGGUAGGGUAAAAGCCUACCAAGGCGACGAUCCAUAGCUGGUCUGAGAGGAUGAUCAGCCACACUGGGACUGAGACACGGCCCAGACUCCUACGGGAAGCAGCAGUGGGGAAUAUUGGACAAUGGGCGAAAGCCUGAUCCAGCAAUGCCGCGUGAGUGAUGAAGGCCUUAGGGUUGUAAAGCUCUUUUACCCGGGAUGAUAAUGACAGUACCGGGAGAAUAAGCUCCGGCUAACUCCGUG
rnacentral:rRNA from 1 species